GCCCUCGUAGUAUAGCCAAUACCCUGGUCUUGUAAACCAGAAACGGAGAAUAAUUCUCCCAAGGACA
rnacentral:tRNA from 2 species